GCCAAGGUGGCGUAGUGGUUAGCACAUCUGCUUAGUGAGCAGGGGACCAGGGUUCGAAUCCCGGUCUUGGUA